AAAAAUCGUAAUGAAGGGUUCAUGAGCUGAGAUAAGGAUUAGGAGAAAACACUCUAAGGGCAAAACAGGCUCAAUCCAGAGGCAC